rnacentral:lncRNA from 1 species
ACAGCUCAUUGGCUACAGGCUGACACUAGCUGGAAAAAGCUGGCAACAAGAAUAGAAGAACUGCAAACAAUGCAGCCUGCCUUUGCCAAGACACAAAUAGGAAGAAGCAUUUGAAAGGACCAUGUACGGUAUCAAAUUAUCUGCAAAGAUGAAGAAAGUAAUGACUUACAUUCUCCGUCCUCUGACUGGGUGAUUCAUCAAAGUGGAAGACGAAGCAGUUGGAGAUGAAAGUCACUCCCAAAAGAAGGCAAAAAGGAUGAGCUUGGAAAGAGCCAAUUUAAUUAGACAAGUUCACAUGGGACCAGAGUAUCUGUGACUGGGGGGG